rnacentral:lncRNA from 1 species
UUCUAAAUUAUUAAAGGAUUAGUGAUAACAAGAUAAGAUCCUUCAUUUUUUACGAAGAUAAAUAAGUGAUCAAAUAUUAAAGGGGUUUAAGGAGCAGAAUUUCUGAUUUUUUAUUCUUUUACCUAUGAGCUUUAGUUUGCCUAUGUUACUACAAGAACAAUAAAAUAUCUGACACUUUCAAUAUGGUUAGUUUGUCUAAAGUAUAUAUACACACAGAGGCGGUAAAGAAUAAUAAGUACAAUUAAAGGAUAGGGAAAGGAGAACUGGACUCUCGCUAUGGGCCUGCAAAUGUUCAAGCCCAACAUAAUGUACACGAAUAGUGGCCUCGAUAGGAACGUGAUGACGUAUAUCUGAAAGUGGACUUGAGCUCCAAAUGGGCUCAGCAGGCCCAAAUUGAAUUCAUGCACACAAAAAAAAUAAAAUAACUAAUGUAUAUCAAUUGCAAAAGCUAAGUAAGAUAAAGAGUAUAACAAAUGGUAAUAAAGAGCAAAAGAAUGUCGUGAGGCAGAUUUUAUAUAUUCUAAUCUUAUGAGGAUUAAUAAGAGUUAGUGACUAAAAGCUUGGUGUAAAUCCUCUCUUAUUGAUAUAAUCUCCCUUUUGAGCUCCUUGUACUUCAGAGUUCAUGAGGGUCUCACGGACCCCGAACAGUGCUUUUGUCAAGGAGAGAGAGAAUAACCACAAUGAAUUUUUACAUCUAAUUACCCUUAACCACAUUAUAUUAAUCUUCUUCAGAGGUUUAAACAUAAACAAAAGAAUCAACAGAGUAACUUUAUACUGCUAAGAUACAAAAAGUAGUUACAAGAGUCAUGGUAAACCCUUUAAAGGUUCAAAUACAUAAGAAACUCAACAACUAUGAACAAAUGGGAUGUUGUAAUUCAUUUCAAAGCACAAAAGUAGCCAAGGGCACGAUAUUGACUUAAGAGGAAUCAUAUCAGAGUCAUGAGAUCACUUUGAAGACAUAGUCAAGCAAGAAAACAAAGUGCAGGCAAGAGACAUGUUUCACUUCUCAUAGAGUUUAGACGCAUAAGUGUUACAGUAAAGUAUCACACAGAGAUGAGCAUAAGAGUAUGUUAUAUUGGCUUCACUAUAGGUUUAAUCUUCCAUAACUCUUCUAAGUGAGUUCAGAUCAUAGGGAUUGUUCACAGGUGUUUCUAAAGUCUCAGCAUAGUUAACAUCAAGCCUAUACCUUAUCAUUUUGACACCUAAGCUGAUUAUUCUAAUCAGAAUUCCUAAGGGGCAUGCCAAUUAGUCAGGGAAACAAAGUCAUUAAAUAGGAAAGAAUUGAUCUUACUCUUACUCAAUACUGACAGACUGAUUAUACAACACAUAUAUCAUCAAAAUUUCUAACUAUCAGACUUAAACAAAUUCAGGGUGAGUCCCUACGGGAGAUGGCACUAUCAGAUAUAAGGAAAUAGGUAAUAACAUCCAUUUUAAGGCAAACAUGUCAUAAUGAACUGACACUUGAAUAUAUAGGCAACUAGUAUGGUAUGUAAAUCAAACUCAAUACAUGAUUUUAAUUUAAGCUAAUAUGACAAACAUAUAGGAAUCAGGAUAGCAGAAAGUCACAACUAAGUCUAACAAUUAAAGUCAUGAGAGCAUAUCAUCACUAGCAAUGGGAAUAGAUCCCUUAGUGGGAAAUAUUCACAUACUCAAACCAAGUAAAGCACCAUAGCAACCAAGGCAAGUAAAGGUUAGCACAUAGGUGCAAAUAUAUAGUCUCUCAAACUGAAGUCAAAAAAUAGUUUAUUAGCAUAGCAAGGAUUAAUAUGAGAGAGGUAAGCUCAUGUGUAAAGGUCAUUAAUGUAAUGGCAAGAGUCUCACAAAAGCUCAAACAGUCAUGAGAGGGUGAGUAUUAAUCUCAUACUAAGGAUCAAUAGAGAACAAUCUUCCUAACACACUUAGCAAGGUUCAGCACGUACUUUCUUGACUUCUCACACCAUCACAAAGAACGCACAAGAAUCAUUCUGUUACUACUACAUAUGCAGUAUACUAAUUAGAGUCAAACAAAUUAAUAUGAAGUUGGGAACUAAACCAAAUAGCAGAACAUUACAUGUAUCGGGAUGGCAUAAUGAAACAAGUAAUGACAGCAUACAGAUGAUUCUUUGAAACUUGAUUUUAUCCCAACCUCUUCUGCAGGGCAGAAAACCAAGUAGUAGAUGUUCAACAGUGAUUUAGGAAUCCAAACUCAUGACCAGUAUAACAGUUGAACUCAAACCGGAGAAGAGAAAGAAAAUAGAAAAAUCAGAGAGUACUUACUGAGAAAUUCUUAAACUUCAACUCUUUUCUUUCUUUCUUUUGUGUUUCGGAUAGUAUUCAAUUUGUCUUAGGUGAAUACAUUGAAUUCCCUUUUUUAUAGUGGCAUACGAGACUUAGUGUCCCGCUCAGAUUCAAAAUAGUGACUGGAAAGUGCCUAUAUCCAGAUGAUGAUAGUAAUAGAGGUGAAAUCAGUAAAGAACAGAGGGAAAAAUAUCUUAGAAAUUACUUGGGCACGAGGGGAUGACCGUUAAAGCUUUUGGACUGGUGGUCAAACCGUAAUAUCAGAGGUCACUACGUUUGACCUAUGGAUAAAUAAUAACAUUGAUUAAACAAGAGACAAGCAGCCAUGCAUGCUCUGGAUUUGAAAGAACAUGGGAGGUUUGAUGGGUUUUCAAGUUUCACGAUUUAGGUCCAGGUUUUAAUUUGGGGAUUUUGAAUUUCGGUGAUGAUAAUGGAAAUAUUCCACCUGGAUUCGCGGCAUAGGGGACAGACUGGGUGAUUUGAAGUUGAUUCUUGUCACCUUGCACAAAUUUGUGCAAGGUCUUUGAGGAUUGAUGGGCUGAUGGAUGAGGGAAAGGAGAGAGGAAAGGGAAAUGGAGGCGGUUAGGUGGUGAGAGAAUGAUAGGGUUUAGGGGUG